rnacentral:rRNA from 1 species
GACGAACGCUGGCGGCGUGCUUAACACAUGCAAGUCGAACGGUGAAGGGACCGGUUUUUGCUGGUUCUGGAUGAGUGGCGAACGGGUGAGUAACACGUGAGUAACCUGCCCCCUUCUUCUGGAUAACCGCAUGAAAGUGUGGCUAAUACGGGAUAUUCUGCGCCUGCUGCAUGGUGGGUGUGGGAAAGAUAUUGUUUCGGUGGGGGAUGGGCUCGCGGCCUAUCAGCUUGUUGGUGGGGUGAUGGCCUACCAAGGCGGUGACGGGUAGCCGGCCUGAGAGGGUGGACGGUCACACUGGGACUGAGACACGGCCCAGACUCCUACGGGAGGCAGCAGUGGGGAGUAUUGCACAAUGGGCGCAAGCCUGAUGCAGCGACGCCGCGUGAGGGAUGGAGGCCUUCGGGUUGUAAACCUCUUUCGCCAGUGAAGCAGGCCUGUCCCUUUUGUGGGUGGGUUGACGGUAGCUGGAUAAGAAGCGCCGGCUAACUACGU